GUUUUGAUAGUUUAAAUUAAAAACAUUAAUUUUGUAAAUUAAAGUUAGAAGACUCUUUGAAACA
rnacentral:tRNA from 1 species